GCUUUGUUCUUAGCAGCAUUUAAGGGCCACCAUUGUGGACUGAGGUCAGCUGAAUCUGAGAUUUGUGUGGAUGAGGUCUCCCGUGGAUAGGCUGGUCUUUCCACCCUCUACUGUCUUAGAGAACACACAGGUCGUGAUGUUAAUGCAUUCAGAACACAGCCCAUCCUUUAAGACAAAAAGGUGCAGCAAAUGCUUGUGUUCACAUGGAUCCUGACGAUACACGUGUAACAUCUCAUACUUGGGACAGUGCAGUAAGUCUGAGCUCGGUUCUGAAGAAGGCAGUGAGAGGGGCUUCUUUAUCAAAGCUGCAAGUGCCAUGUGCCCAACUGUAAAAUAUUGUGCCAUGGGGUCCAGUUCUCCAGUUCUUCUAGCCACAUGGCCUGGGAACCAGCCCCUGGUGAAAGACUCCACACUCCUGAGCAUUUAUGUACAUUUUCAAUCCAAGAGCAAGUUGUUCCUUCACAGGCCUGAUCUGUGCUCUGAGAACAGCUUG
rnacentral:lncRNA from 1 species